rnacentral:rRNA from 1 species
AUUCGCCUUCAUGAAGCCGGAAUUGCUAGUAAUGGCAGGUCAGCAUACUGCCGUGAAUACGUUCCCGGGCCUUGUACACACCGCCCGUCACACCAUGAGAGUUGGGGAUACCCGAAGCCUGUGAGCUAACUAUUUAUAGGAGCAGCAGUCGAAGGUAGAAUCAAUGAUUGGGGUGAAGUCGUAACAAGGUAAC